AAUGGGGGAAACCCUGAUGCAGCGACGCCGCGUGAGCGAUGAAGGAAUUCGUUUCGUAAAGCUCUGUCCAAGGGGAAGAUAAUGACAGUACCCUUGGAGGAAGCCCCGGCUAAAUACGUGCCAGCAGCCGCGGUAAUACGUAUGGGGCGAGCGUUGUCCGGAAUUAUUGGGCGUAAAGGGUACGUAGGCGGUUAGAUAAGUCAGAUGUAAAAGCGUGGGGCUCAACCCCAUAAAGCAUUUGAAACUGUGUAACUUGAGUAGUGGAGAGGAAAGUGGAAUUCCUAGUGUAGCGGUGAAAUGCGUAGAUAUUAGGAGGAAUACCAGUGGCGAAGGCGACUUUCUGGACACAAACUGACGCUGAGGUACGAAAGCAUGGGGAGCAAA
rnacentral:rRNA from 1 species